GCAGGGCCUAAGCUAUUGGCGUUUUUUCAUCAGCGUUUGGUCUUACAUUGCUCAUAUUCCCAAUAUGCGAGCCUAAGCUACUAGCGUUUUCAUCAGCUCUUGGUCGUACAUUGGGUGUAUUCCCAAUAUGUGGUAUAAGUCAGACCAUGGAAUGUUCCACUUCUGCAUUGCGGACAGUGAGCAUGACUGGAGGGAAAGACCAAUACAAGUUCAUUGAGAACUGCCUUUCAACAACAGAUAGGCAAAAGCAACCUUGGCGAAUCUAGCAAUACAAGUUCAUUGAGAACUGCCUUUCAACAACAGAUAGGCAAAAGCAACCUUGGCAAAUCUUUGCAGUCCAUCGUGUCCUUGGUUAUUCAUCAGACAUGGUAUGGGAAAGAGGGCUCAUUUAAAGAGCCAAUGGGGAGAAAAAGGCUUCAAAAGCUUUGGCAAAGGUACAAAUUUGAUAUUUCAUUCUAUGGACAUGUACAUAACUACGAAAGGUCGUGCCCUAUAUACCAGGUAUUGCUUGGAUUCCCUCACAUGUGAACAAUAUUUUCUUUUACCUAACUACAAGGAUUUUUUAAUGUUAUUCAUGAAACAUAAAAUCCAGUUCCGUUUUUUUCGUGAGAAAAAAUAUUGCAAGGUAAUUCUCAUUCUUUCCAGCAGUAACAUAAGUUACCCGAAGAGCAGCAAAAAGAAUUAUCAGAGCUGAUGUGUAUGAAUGACCUUAUUAAUCAAUCAAUUUAGUAAAGACAAAUGAAAAGACUAAAGGAACAAAUUCAACUCUCAACUUAAACUGGUCAAUCAGUUUGUUCUGAUCAUAACAAAAGAAUCUCUAAUUGGAGUUUAUUUGGCUAAUUUAUAUGAUGGAAAUUGGAAACUCAAGCUAAAAUUUUGGAGUUUAUUUGGACCAAAUGGAGCAAUUCCCAACUCUUAAAGAACCAAAAUAAUCUAUUACAAGAGGAUCACAGUGAUGGACCGUAUCACAUCUCAGUUUUGGACCAUAUGAGUAUAAUUCAAAAGAACAAUUAAAAUUUUAUAUGCUCCUUGUGAAGGAAAUAAUGCCCUUGGUCAAGUAUGCAUAUAAUAUUAAGUCUAAUAAAUGCGGUUCAGUAUUAGUUAACCAGUUAAUAAUUCAGUGAGAUCAAGUGAGCUGAAUGCCUAGCUAGAGGCCGCUUCAGUUCAAGUGGAAUUAAUUAUAUUAAUCCA